rnacentral:lncRNA from 1 species
CCAGUUCAUAGCUUUGCAGUUAUUGUUUAAAUAUAUAUUUCUUUCUCUAAAUCUUUUUACUAGGUAAAAGAUUAUUCCUGAUUAUCCACUACAUUACCACCUCACUGCAAAUUUAUCAUGACUUCUCUCUGUUCUGAUCUGUCCCACAAAGCCCUCAGUGCACGUUCAGAUGUCCAAAUGGUGAAUCUUUGUAAUGCUCCCAAUGAAGAUACACAAAUAAGAAUCGUUCAGCAACAUUUAUCAGUGCCAGACAAGGAAAUCCUGCCUCCUCAAGUCAGAGACAUCAUGAGUAAAACAUGAGGCCAUUACAACUAGCAAUCUUGGCCACUGAGCUUGUGUAUGUGGAAUAUAUAGAAAUCAGCAUCAAUGUCUUAAUGAAUAUUUGGAAACACUUUCUAUUCAGGAACUAUGGCUAUUAGUUCUUACACGUUGGAUCAAAGACUAUAGCUGGAGAAUAGACUCAAAAAAGAGCAUCAAAAGAAAAGAAGUAUCUUCAGGUUUUCAGGCUUCUCACAAAAGUAAGUGUCCUCAGAAUAUCUUAUUCAUAAUGCCCUUUUUUUGAGACUGAAAAGUUUAUUAAAGGAACACUAGUACCAUUAUUUGCAUAGCCAACUAGUCCAAAAGGAAAAGAACCACUUUUCAGUGGGAAUACACUGCAAAAUGUAUAUUAAAAUGAAAUGUCAACUUUUUCUGUCUACUGCACAUGCCAGCAAACCAGCCGGUGGAUGGGGAAAAUGGGAAGAGUCCUGCUUCUACCAAAAACUCCAGAGAAACCACCUCAUAGGCCCUCAGGAUAAAAGGCUGCGUGGCAGAUGCUUUGUGCUUACUAGGUGCUUCUUGUUGUGGGCUGGCUGACAAUGAGAUCCUGCACCUUUUGAACAUUCUGGGCUGUGCAGAUGAAUAUAAAGUAACUCUAUGUCACUGGGCAGCAUUUCAUAAUUCUGCCUCAAAGUAGAUCCAGGAAAAACCUGAUGGCCUAUUGCACUUAAGUCACAGGCCUUACAAGAAGCCAGAGAGCAUUAGCUGCUUGACAAGUAAGAUCAGGUGUAAUAAGAUGUAGUGGGCAAAUUGUUCAAGAAAAAACAGACUGCAUCCAGGGAAUCUGAGUUUCUCAAACUGUGAUGUUUGAUGUUUUUUUAAAGCUUUGAACUGUCAUACAAUACUUUUAUAGUAAGUGCUUUCCCUAGAUGUUGUCACUUGAAAAUCAUUUAAAACAUGAAUGUACCAAUUUUAGUUUAUGAUUUACUUCAGCUAGA